UCGACUGAGAACAACAUAAUUCAU
rnacentral:miRNA from 1 species